GUCCGUCUGGCCGAGUGGUCUAAGGCGCUGCGUUCAGGUCGCAGUCUACUUCGGUAGGCGCAAGUUCGAAUCCUGCGGCGGACA
rfam:Toxocara canis scaffold297, whole genome shotgun sequence.